CUGUCCGCCAUAGCCGGAUUCAAUCUUGAAUGGGUGGUGUUCGUUGGUGUUUGGGUGAUUUUCAGAUGUUGGGGUUUUUUUUUUAAAAAAAAUUUCUGAUUUUUUUUUUUUUAAUUUCUGACUUUUUUUUUAGAAUGAGAAAAUUUUAGAGAGAGAGAAUGUUGGUAGUGAAAUGACUCGUAAGUUAGUUUCGCGAGUAUUUAUAUACGAGGGGUAAAUUAGUAAAUUUAAGUAAAAAAUGCGAGCGUCGCUAUGUAAUUUACGAACGACGUUUAAGGACACCCGAUAAUUAUGGAGUAUGUAUAGUCAAAUUCUCGUAAUUAUAGCCUUCCAAGAUUCUAGGAUAUUAGUUCAUAGUUUAGUGGCUAGAAUCUUGGAUGUACAACAUAUUCACGCAUCAAGCAAAUCAAGAAUUCACUUUCAUUUUGCUUUUGAAGAAUCUCAUUCAGUCUCUCUCCUCACUCUUCUUCUUCCAUCUUUUCCACUCUGCACUCUCAUCUCCUUCUCCAUAUUUUGGGAGCUAAUAAUAAAGCUGGCUGCACGAGCUGUUCUUCAAGAGCAACCAAGAGGGGAGGAGAGAGAAAAUCAAACAAUGUCAAAAUCAUCCCAUGUAUUCAUUGGAUCAAUUGAUCAAGGAACAACAAGCACAUCUAUGAUGGAUCUACAACAGCAAUUGGAUCUCAUCAGAUUGAAUUCACCUAGUUUUAAUUUUGGUUGAGAUGUUAUUCUUGUUUUGGAUUAAUUUAAUUAUUAUAUUUUGUAGUGAUAUAUUGCGAUUUUAAUUCUGGAAUAAGUAUUAUUAAUUUUCUUAGUUUAAUCUGGCCCAAUUAAAGCAAGCUUUAUAAAUUGACUUUUUUUUUUGGGUUUAGUUUAGUGGGUUGUGUAUAAGCUAUUGGAAUCAAGAAGAGGCCGGGUGUGUUUAUGUUAGUCUUUGUGUGCUCUUAUUGUAGAUUAGUUAGUUAAUUUGUUUUGAACUUGGUUUAGCAAUUACAAAAAUAGCUAAUUAAGUGUGUGUGCGGUGUUAUGUAAGUAGCUGUGUGUGCGGUGUUAUGUAAGUAGCUGUGGGUUGCUAUUGUAAUUUAGUUAGGUAAUUUCAAGGGAUAUUAGUUAGUUUAUUUGAUCUGAAAUUUGUGUGGUGCUAUUGUAACUUAGUGAAUUUGAACUGGAACUUGUUAGUUUAUUUGAUCUGAAAUUUGUUUAGCACCUUUUACAAAAGUUUGGUUUGAUGUGAAAUUGGCUUAGCAACUAUAAAAAUUGUCUGUGAAGGUAAUUCGGAUUAUCUUUAUUGGGGAAUUUGUCAAAUAGUUAUGUUGCUUAAUGUAAUUGACAAUUUUUGAGGCUGCUAUUAAGGCUUCAUCGGUUUUUUGGAUCUAAAUAAUUUAGGUAACAUGUAAUUCCAAUUCAUUAAAUCAAAUUGAAUAAAGAUGAUUAGUAACUUGGUGUAGGCAUCACUCUUCUUUUUUGGCUCAAAAUAUCAGCAAUUCUUAGACUGUACGUUACUUCUGAAUAGGCUGUAUAGAAUAGGGUAUGGGUUAUCAGGUAUUAUUGGUGUAUAUAGAUUGUUUUCAUAUCUAUUCUACUGUUUGAUAUACAUACUGUAAUUAAAAAAAAAAGGUACAAAAAGGUUGCACUUGUACUUUCGCUUACUUGUGUUGUAUUGUUUGUAGAGCUGUGACUUGGGUCUGUUGUACUUCCAUUAGUCUUGCUUUUACUUUAUAUUUAUUGUUUUGGUAGAAUAUAUAGAUUACAUAUAUAUUAUAUUACAUACAUACAAUUGAGUAAGCCCAAUUAGAGUAUAAAAGUGGGAAGUCUUGACAUAUGUACAUGCAGAGAGAACAAAUGGAUUGUUAAUUUAGUGAGGAAUUCAGCGUGUUGAUGAAAUUUUGCGUAAGGUUAGUUGUAUGUUGCAUUUCUUCAUGUGUUUUUUUGGGGUUUUGUGUAGUUAAUUUAGUGUUCUUAUUAAAUUUGCUCUUGAAAUUGAAGGUUUUUACAAGUUGAGUUUGAUUUGGAGUAAGGAGCUGCUUCAGUUGAUAUUCAAGUGGUUGUUUUGUGUUUGCUUUAGAUUGUGCUAUUACGGUGGGUAGUUCCUGUUGUUAUAUGCUUUGUGAUAAUGAACUUUGGUUAUUGUCUGCUUAUAGAUAAGGUCAAUUAUUGAUAUCAGAUGUGUGUGCUAUUUAUUUUAGGCUAAUGAUUGUUGAUAUGAGCUAUUAUGUUGUAUAUAUGUUGAUUCAAGAUAAUAUUAAUUCACGUAGUUUAAGUGUGAUGCUUUUUGGGUUUACCUCUUUUGAGGAGGAACAUGUUUAUUUGAAAAGGAGUUUUCUAGACUUGCUAAGAUAAAUUAUGGUACUGAAUGGUGAAUAAUUUUCUUACAUUAGAAACUGUCUGCAUGGCUUUUGUUAUAGAAUUUUCAAUAUUUUCCUUGUAUUUCUUGCUGCUACUGCUUUCUUGUGCAUUUAUUUUGUCACGUGUAUGUGACCACUAUGGUAGAGGAAUUGGUUAAAAAAAAAAACAAAAAAAAAAAAACCUUAUGGCUGAUUUACAUCAGAAUUUUGAGAUACUUGAUCAAAGAACAGAACACCUAGCUUAUCAGACCAAGGCUAGAUUCGAUGCUUUCUCUAACUAAUAAUUGACAACACAAGAAAAUGAAAAAGGAUAGUUAUGAUGAGUUCCAGUGGUGAUGAGGGUGAAUCAAAGUGCUCAAAAUCGAUUGGUAGGGGUAUCAAGCUCAAUGAUUUAACUGGCCUUGGAAGACCAGAAGACUUUCUUGAGGGAAGAGGUAAGUAAGAGAUGAAGAUGAACAAUGCACUUUUAAUUUUUUCCCCUCUCUGGUCUUUUGAUUGCCUAAACACAAGAACAUGAACCUUGGAACCUGAAGAAAACAGGAUCAGAAAGCUUUUGAAGAGAUGAAGGUGAAUGAUGAAAGAGCAAGAGGGUUAGCAUACCCUUAGGCUUUUUGUACUUCAUCUCUUGCUCUUUGCUCAUUUAUUGUUAUUCUGUAAUUUUUCAUAAUUUCUAUCUACCAAAGCUGUAAUUUGAAUAGGAUAGACUUGCUCAAUUAUAUUAGGGUCAUGGGAAGUGAUCCUCCAGAGUUUUAGACUUUUA